CCAGUUUCAAGCAUAAUUCCAUACAUUUGAAUCAGAAGUUCAGGAUUCUGGACCACCAUUAUUGAAGAUAAGGACUCUACAGCGAAGGACCGCUAACACAUCACACCACAAUGCAAAAAACCGUAUGGGUUCUUGAAAGUUAACCAAAAGAAAGAUCAAACCAACCAGUGCCCUUAAUCUGUUCAUCACUGAAUUUAUAUUGCUGGACCUGCAAUGAGAAUUCUGUUCGAAGCCAGACAACGGCCCAAACAUUUUACCAGCUUCUAUUUCCCAUGCCAAUUCAAUGUCAAAGUACAUAAAGUGGGAACGGCCUCCUUAGAUCAAAUGCUUGUAUAAAACAGUAUAUAUUUCUCCAUAGAAAAUCCAAAAAGCCGGUUAAAUCCACCGUUGAUUUAAUUUUAUCGGAUACUACUAGCUCAUCCCACUUCAUCUUC